GCCAGGUAGGGGUGAAAAUCUAGUUUCCCCACUUAGUUUCCUUUAUGCCUCCAGGGGCAGGACCCCUAUUACUACUGGGUGGAGGUGGAUUGCAGGCUCCUUGGAGACCUCAGCUGACAACCACUGUGGCUGGGAAGAGAGGAACGUCUCACUACUGCUCCCCAUGCGGCCUCCACUGACACUGUUUGAGGGGUGCUUACCACUAGAUGGUGGUGAGAUUUCUGGCCUCCCAAACCCUUUCAAUAAGCUAGGGAGGAGGAGGAAUGCCUUAUUAGCUCUGGGUGGAAGUGGAAGCCCAAGUUCCCCAUAUGGUCUCCAUUGACACAUGAAGGAGGUUUCACUUCGCUGGCGUGGAUUACAACAAUCCAUUUUAACUACUAUGAAAUGGUUCUGGAAUGACACUGUUGUGAAGAGGAAAUUCCAGCGGAGCUACUGGAGCAAGCCUUUGAUCUGCCAUAUUGAGCUCCUCCAGCCAUGCGGAUUCGCUGCACUAUAAGAAAAACAUUUCUAUGACCACUUUAAAGCUAAAUUCAUUUCAGGUUUGUCCUGAAGAGAGACUCAGAGAAGGCUAAAAGGCUAGCCCAGGCUUCCAUUUUGAGACAGGGAGAGUAUCCAGCAAUAUGACGGAGGUAACAAGUGACAAGCAGGAUUGUGUGGGGCUUUUUCUUUGAAGAUCUUCUGUAGUAAAACAGAAUGGAACUUGUCUAUUUACAACAUUUUUCAAUUUUUCUGGGCAGUCAAUAAAACAUAACAUUACCAACAUCAUUUUCUCUCACCUAAUCUAGGAGAUUUUUCUUUAUGUCGUUUUUUAAUACUUUAUUCAUUAUAAAAGUUUUUCCACCUUUUACAUUUUGCAGUUACUAAUAUUAAGAAACGAAAUGCCAAUUUGUUUGCAAGCCAUGUAAAAGGAACAUCUUAACAGGAUAGCAAAUGAUUAAAUAUAUGGUGUGUUGUGUGGCAUAUAUUUGAUGGUUUUGUGACCAGAAAUGGUCUAAUAUCUAGUGUUUCAUCUUAUACCAUCAAAGUAAGGUCAUCUUUGUCCUAUUUCUUUAUUCCUCUUUGUGCUCAUAUAUAUUUAUUGAACAUUUGUGUGUAUUUAGCAGUGACAGGGAUGAAAAUAGUCUGACUUUAGGGAAGCAUUGUUUUUCAGGCUUUAAUAAUAAAACCGAUAUUUUCCAGGGCACAGAAUGCCUACCUGUGCCUAGGUGAUAAGGUCUCGAACACAAUGAGCUCUUUUGUUCUGAGAAGCAGCCCAGGCUUAUUCUGCUACUUCUCCCUGUUUUACAAUCUUGCUAAGGUUGACCUUUACCUAUCUUGUGGUGCUUUUUCAACAAAAAUAAAAUUCUUAACUGGUUUUUAUGACUGACUAUAAAACAUCCCUUUCAACUUCACCUGUUAAUAAAGGGAACUAGCUCUUCCUUCUCCUGUAUACUUGGAAAAAAUAGAAUAAAAACAACAAACAAAAUAGUUACUUAACUGAAAAAAAAAAAAGGUAUUGAGAUUAGUCUUACAAUGUGUAAGAUUCUCAAAUAGUCCUUAAAUACAAUCCUUAAUUUAAUUUUUAAAAUGCUGUGUUUUCUUAAACCACUUCUCUCUCUUUCACAUCCCCUCUACCACCACCCUGGGGGUCUUUUGCAAUAGAGUAGAAUGUUCACAGGAUUCACUUUUGAUAUGGGUUAUUUUUUGGAACAAUGGCAGAUUGAUUGAUGGGUAGUUGGGGUAAUCUUUACUAUUUCGUACUGCUAUCUUUAAAUACUCAGUAGAUAAUUGCUCUGAUUAAAUUUGUCUGUUAAACACAGUAGCUUUGGUAAACAUUGCAAGAGGAUACAGUAAGGAUACAGUAAUGCAAUCCCCUUUUAGUACUAAAAUAUUUUAUUUGAAUGGGUUUUUAAUCAAUAAAGAGCAAUUUAGUUCUCAGAGAUGCAUGGGCAAUUCCCAUUGAUUUGUAUGAAAUCCUUGGGUUCUUUUUAGAGUGAUGGAUGGUUUAGUGUGGUUGUUUAAAAAUAAAAUUGUAUUCUUGGGCUGGAGACUCCAUGCUGGAGAGAGAUGGUAUAUAAUGGAUGAAACUGGUCUCAUGGAAGUCCCUGAUGCUUCGUGAUAUUUAGGGGACCAAAUAUCACUGAAUGGUUGGUUUUUGUUUUGAGACUGAAUAACUGUAUUAAUCUGUUUUGUGUUGCUAUUAAAAAAAACUGCUAUUGGCUAAAAUAUAAAGAAAAUAGGUUUAUUCAGCUCACAUUUCUGCAGGCAACCAUAUCUGCUCAGCUCCUGGUGAGGCCUCAGGAAGCUUUUACUCAUGGUGGAAGUUGAAAGGGGAGCAGGUCUGUCACAUGGUGAGAGAGGGAGCAAGAGAGAGAGCGGGGAGUUCCCUGACUUUUUAACAAGCAGAUCUCAUGUGAACUCAUUACUGCCAGGAGAGCACCAAGUCAUUCAGUAAGUAUCCUCCUCUAUGACCCAAACACCUCUAGCUAGGCCUCACCUCCAACAUUGGGGAUCACGUUCCAACAUGAGAUUUGGAGGGGACUAACAUCCAAACUAUAUCUAUAAUGCUUCCCAGUGAUUCUCUAUCAUGUGCACUCCAGUGUUCCCAUACUGUACACAGUGAUACAUUUUAUUUCUGUGAAACUUUUAAUGAGUUAUUAUAUGUCGGGGCUUAGAAUGCUGUCUGGCACAGACUAAGUACUAUGUAAGGGUUAGAAAUAAUUGUUACUAGUUAUUCCAAGGCCAACUCCAGCCU
ensembl:lncRNA